UGGGGGAUAUUGCACAAUGGGCGAAAGCCUGAUGCAGCGACGCCGCGUGGGGGAUGAAGGCCUUCGGGUUGUAAACUUCUUUUGCUCUGAACAAGGCAUGCCUUUGGGGUGUGUUGAGUGUAGGGGUUGAUUAGCGCCGGCUAACUACGUGCCAGCAGCCGCGGUAAUACGUAGGGCGCGAGCGUUGUCCGGAAUUAUUGGGCGUAAAGGGCUUGUAGGUGGCUGGUUGCGUCUGUCGUGAAAGCUCAUGGCUUAACUGUUGGUUUGCGGUGGGUACGGGCUGGCUUGAGUGCAGUAGGGUAGGCUGGAAUUCCUGGUGUAGCGGUGGAAUGCGCAGAUAUCAGGGGGAAUACCGGUGGCGAAGGUGGGACUCUGGUGUGUUACUGACGCUGAGGAGCGAAAACGUGGGGCGCGGACAGG
rnacentral:rRNA from 1 species